UAUAUUAUAUUCGAGAAAAUUGAUGAAAAAGCAACAAAGGCCCUGACAAAAAUAUUUUGCACCAUGGGAAGAGAGUUGGCCCUUUGCAUUUUAGAUCCUUUGAAAACAGUGGAAGUUUCACUUUCCAUUUUGGCCCUUGGGCUAACACGAAGACAGCUUGUUUUUGUUUACGUUUUGUUUGGUCGGCCCGUGGCCAAAACAAAUCUAACCAAAACAAAUCACAGUAUCCUGUUUGGCCUUUUGCAUUCAACCAAAUUGUUCAGCGUCUUUUGAUUGAUUUUAGUAUUAAAUAUGCUGUGAUAAGAGGUGAUGGGUGCAAUAUUUAUGGAUACAAAACCGUCGGAACAACCGCAGAUUGAUACUGGCGCUGCUGAUCUCGUAACUUUCCACGUAGAGUCUGCCCACCAAAAUCUACAUGUUCGUGCUGGAGAGAAAGAUCGACGCGUUCGUAACGUACGAUCAUGAGGCAAACUGGUUUACGUGCAGAACCCGCGCUGGACGCCAGAAAUCUUCAAGCCACAAUCGGCACGACCUACAGGAUGUUGAGGUGCAUAUUCGGGCCGAAUCGGAGGGUGUCAGCUACAUUACGCUUAAGAGUGGCGAGCGGGAUUUGGUCCUGUCUAACCAGCGGUGCUUACCGAGCAAGCGAUUUGGGAGUUUUACCUUUAUCUGGAACGCAACAUAUCAGCUGGACGUGAAGGCGGACUACAUGGCACAAUUCGAAAAGUUUGCGAUCGUUGAGAGUCCGGAAACGGGUUCAAAGCCAGCGGGUACAAAGCGUUUGAGGGUUAGGUUGACCAGGAGCUGAUGAUGACCCCCGAGAUCAAAUUCAUGAACAUAAAGGUCAACUCUAUCUACCGCAUCGUGCUCAAACCCCAGAAAGGUUGCCGUGACCUGAGCGAGUGGACGCAUUCCCGUACCAGCCCCCUGAUCACGAUGUUCGACGCCAUCCUUGUGCUGGAGCCAGGAGGACUCCUCUCAUGCGUUGCCACCAAUGUUCGCU